rnacentral:rRNA from 1 species
ACGAACGCUGGCGGCGUGCCUAAUCCAUGCAAGUCGAGCGAAGUUUUUCUGGUGCUUGCACUAGAAAAACUUAGCGGCGAACGGGUGAGUAACACGUAAAGAACCUGCCUCAUAGACUGGGACAACUAUUGGAAACGAUAGCUAAUACCGGAUAACAGUAUUUCUCGCAUGAGAGAUAUUUAAAAGUUGGUUAUGCUAACACUAUGAGAUGGCUUUGCGGUGCAUUAGCUAGUUGGUGGGGUAAAGGCCCACCAAGGCGACGAUGCAUAGCCGACCUGAGAGGGUGAUCGGCCACACUGGGACUGAGACACGGCCCAGACUCCUACGGGAGGCAGCAGUAGGGAAUCUUCCGCAAUGGGCGAAAGCCUGACGGAGCAACGCCGCGUGAGUGAAGAAGGAUUUCGGUUCGUAAAGCUCUGUUGUUAGGGAAGAAUGGAUAUGUAGUAACUAUACAUGUAAGAGACGGUACCUAACCAGAAAGCCACGGCUAACUACGUG